rnacentral:rRNA from 1 species
GAUGAACGCUAGCGGCAGGCCUAACACAUGCAAGUCGAGGGGUAGUUACUUUCGGGUAAUGAGACCGGCGCACGGGUGUGUAACGCGUAUGCAAUCUACCUUUUACAGGGGAAUAGCCCAGAGAAAUUUGGAUUAAUGCCCCAUAGUAUGUAUGAAUCGCAUGGUUUAUACAUUAAAGUUCCAACGGUAAAAGAUGAGCAUGCGUCCAUUAGUUAGUUGGUAAGGUAACGGCUUACCAAGACGAUGAUGGGUAGGGGUCCUGAGAGGGAGAUCCCCCACACUGGUACUGAGACACGGACCAGACUCCUACGGGAGGCAGCAGUGAGGGAUAUUGGACAAUGGGCGCAAGCCUGAUCCAGCCAUGCCGCGUGCAGGAAGAAGCAUCUAUGGUGUGUAAACUGCUUUUGUACGGGAAGAAACACUCCUACGUGUAGGAGCUUGACGGUACGUAAGAAUAAGGAUCGGCUAACUACCGUGCC